CAGUCGCCGCGGGAACACGGAGGGGGCUAGCGUUGUUCGGAAUUACUGGGCGUAAAGCGCACGUAGGCGGCUUGGUAAGUUAGAGGUGAAAGCCUGGAGCUCAACUCCAGAAUUGCCUUUAAGACUGCCGAGCUAGCAGGUGAGAGAGGUAAGUGGAAUUCCGAGUGUAGAGGUGAAAUUCGUAGAUAUUCGGAAGAACACCAGUGGCGAAGGCGGCUUACUGGCUCAUACUGGACGCUGAGGUGCGAAAGCGUGGGGAGCAAACAGGAUUAGAGACCCGUGUAGUCCCUGUCUCUUAUAC
rnacentral:rRNA from 1 species